rnacentral:tRNA from 6 species
GCCUCUGUAGUCCAAUGGAUAAGACGGCCCUCUCCUAAAGGGCAAAUCCGGGUUCGAUCCCCGGCGGGGGCA